GUUCGAGCGUCAUUACAACCCUCAAGCACUGCUUGGUGUUGGGCCUCGCCGGUUUUGGCGGGCCUUAAAAUCAGUGGCGGUGCCGUCUGGGUUCUGAGCGUAGUAAAUAUCCUCGCUACGGAGACCAGGCGGUUCUUGUCAUCAACCCCCAACUUCUUAAGUUUGACCUCGGAUCAGGUAGGGAUACCCGCUGAACUUAA
rnacentral:misc_RNA from 1 species